UUCUUUAAAAUUAAAUAAUUUGGCGGUGUUUUAAUCUAUUUAGAGGAAUCUGUUUUUUAAUUGAUAUUCCACAUUUUUAUAAAUUUAUAAUUUAAAUUUAUAUAUCGUUGUUUAGAAUAUUUUUUUAUUUAAUAUUAUCAGAUCAAGGUGUAGUUAAUUUUUAAGUUAAAAUGGAUUACAAUAAAAAUUUUAUAUAAAUUGGAUUUAAUAGUAAGUUUUAAAAUAUGUACAUAUUGCCCGUCACUUUCACUUUAAAGUGAAAUAAGUCGUAACAGAGUAGUUUUAUCGGAAGAUGUAGCUAGAAUCAAGUUAUAGCUAAAUAAGUGUUUUAUUUACAUUAAAAUGAUAUUUGUUAAAUUCAAUUUAAUUUGAAUUUAUUAAUUUAUAAAAUUAUUUAUAAUUUUAAUAAAAAUUUUCAUUUUUAGUAAUUUAAAGAAAAAAUUUUAUAAUAGUAAAAAGUAUUGUGAAAGAAUUUUUUAAAAUUUGAUAAAGAAAAUUUGAUUUAUUGUACCUUGGGUAUCAGGGUUUAUUAAUUUUUUAUUCUCGAAAUUUAAAGAGUUAUUUUUAUUGUAAAAUAAAUAUUUAUUAUAUAAGAUUAGUAAUGAAAUGUUAUUCGUUUUUUUAUUUAUCUAGUUUUUUAAUAAAUAAAUUUAAUUUAAUUUUCAAUUAUUAUAUUAUUAAGGGAUAAGCUUUAAAAUAAAUAUUUAUAAUUUAGAUUUAGUUUUUAAUUUAUAGGAUUAGAAUUUUUUAUUUAUAAAAAAAUGUUAUAAUUUAAAAUUUAAUUUUUAUAUUAAAAUAAAAUUUUUAAUAAAUAAGAAUUUGAAAUAAUGAUAAAAUUAGUAAAAUUAAUUUAAUGAAUUAGGCAAAUAAAUUUUUACCUGUUUAUUAAAAACAUGUCUUUUUGAAAAUAAUUUAAAGUCAGGUCUGCUCAAUGAUUAAAUAGCUGCAGUAUUUUGACUGUACAAAGGUAGCAUAAUAAUUUGUUCCUUAAUUAGGAGCUGGAAUGAAGGAUUUAAUAAGAAAUUAACUGUUUUUAAAAUUUUAUUUUUAAGUUAAAAAGCUUAAAUUUAAUAAUAAGACGAGAAGACCCUAUAGAGUUUACUUCUUAGGGUGAUAAAAAAA
rnacentral:rRNA from 1 species